rnacentral:misc_RNA from 1 species
GAUGAAGAACGCAGCGAAAUGCGAUAAGUAAUGUGAAUUGCAGAAUUCAGUGAAUCAUCGAAUCUUUGAACGCACAUUGCGCCCGCCAGUAUUCUGGCGGGCAUGCCUGUUCGAGCGUCAUUACAACCCUCAGGCCCCCGGGCCUGGCGUUGGGGAUCGGCGGAGCCCCCCGUGGGCACACGCCGUCCCCCAAAUACAGUGGCGGUCCCGCCGCAGCUUCCAUCGCGUAGUAGCUAACACCUCGCGACUGGAGAGCGGCGCGGCCACGCCGUAAAACACCCAACUCUUCUGAAGUUGACCUCGAAUCAGGUAGGAAUACCCGCUGAACUUAAGCAUAUCAAUAAGCGGA